UGGAAAUCCCCUGGAAAUACAUUCUGGGAUACACAAGGUGACAUGUGACAGAAGGGCAGUCUGACAGAAUGGCAUCUGACAUGGCAGCACAUAUGAAGAUGUGUCACUCUACACAUGCCUCUUCCACAUGCCUCCAUGCGGAAAAAAUGGCACCCACUGACAUUCAUUGACACCUGCUGAACAUCUGUGGAGUCCAAACAGUGAAU
rnacentral:lncRNA from 1 species